GGGAUAUGAUGAUGAAUUAUUGAUUGGUCCGUGUUUCUGAUUACAAUGUGACUGAGAUAGUUUAUUUUGAUUUCUGAUCCC